rnacentral:lncRNA from 1 species
CAGUUGGGGCCUGGUCAACAGGGGUCCAGGAGCUGAGGCCUGGUUGGUGGGCCGUCUAGCAGUUGAGGCCUGGUCAUCUGGGCCCGGCAUUUGGGGCCUGAUCGGCGGGGAUCAGAGCAGUGAGGCCUAGUCAGUGAGGUGUGGAUGUGGGGGCCUGGGAUGGACGUGGAGGAAGACGUGGCUACCCUACUUGCACAGGAGCAGGGGGCAUCAUUGCCCAGUGUGAGCAGGUGAGACGUAGCUGCCACCCAUCAGUGCCCUGGAAGUGAAGGAGAAGACAUCAGGAGAUGAGGGACACAGAAAAAUGGCUCCAGGUGCUUCUCGACUGCCAGCGACAUAGGAGCGGCAAGGAGGAGCAAGUAAUGACGCCCUCCUCCCAGACUUGCCCCAAAGCCCCCCAGAGCUUGGUGGUGUCCCAGGACGGUCCUCCCAGGAAACAUUUUGAAUAAGUUGCUGAAGUGCCUGAUGGACGUGGCUCUCGUCACGAAAUGAGUUUGGAUCCGAGAAGCCCUCUUCUUCAUCGGAAAACAGGUGCCUCAUCAAUGAAGUAAGCAGGGCAGCUACGUUCUGGAUGGCUAGCAUGUACCGAAGGCACAAAACCUCCAGAGUUGGCAGAGUUAAGUCCUGGCGUGCCCGAGGCUAUCCAGGGGAACACGCGGGACAGACAGCACCCUCAGCCUGUCCCCAUGACCCUCUGCUCCAGUCUGAGGGGCAGGACACCAUGAGACCUCUCAGACACAGAGUCCACCCUCGACAUGACCCGGAUGAAAGGCAGGAGUGUGGCUCGCUGAAGGGGACCCAUCUCUGCAAGCCCACAGCCCUACCUGCAGCAUCCACAGCCUCAGAGAGCAGCGGGGCCCCUUACCCCUGAACCCCCUCCAAGAGCAUCAGGACAACAAGCCUUGAGCUGUGGAGACAAGAGAAUCAGUAUCCCUGGCCCAGGGAGGAUUCCAGGAGAGGACACGGGCAGGAGCCCUGGCCCAGAGCCAGAACCAAGAGUCCAGCCAGGCGAAACUGGAACUAGGGUCCCCGGCACCCAGGACUCUGCGAGCAUCCCCCAACAGCAAGCCCUUCUGCAAGGGAGACGGGUUGGCCCACCCCAGGCUGUCCAGCUCCAGCAGCCUUGCAGGCAGCCUCUCCAGAAAAAGAGCCUGGUCCUCCCCACCCUGCUCCCCACAGGCUGUCCCUGACCCUGAGGCCCAGAGGCACAAGAGGACUUCUGUAGAGCCCAGGGGAGCAGGCUGUUCUCUUGGGGCCCCAGCGGGCUCAAGGUGUGGCCAGGCUGUCCCCAACUCAGGAUAGAUCAUAGGCUGUCCUGCGUACCUCCUCUGGAACUCCCUGCCCAAGCUCUGCCAUGGACCUGGACGUCAGGGGCCUGUGGUUUAACUUUGAAUAGGGAUUCUGGACCUUACACGUGUGCCCUGGACAGCCCCAGAACCAUGGGGUGGGGACCGACCCAGCAAGCCCACCGGGGCCCUGAAACCCGGCCCUGCCGGACACUGUGAUAAUAACCAAGAGGCAAGUCCAGAGACAUCCACUUUGCCCAAUGGCACCUGCAUCCAACUUCUCAGCAGGCAGUGACUGGCAUGGUGUGGGGGCAGCCGGGGCAGCACCUGGCCAGCACCUGGCCAGCUGCCCUGUAGCCCCCGAUGGCUCCAGUGCCUCUGGACCUCAUUUUCUACUUUCUACGGGGAAACCUACUCCCUCAGAGGCCACCAGAGGGAAGAGUGAGCAAGGCGUUCCUGCAGUCCCGACCAGCCAGCGGCAUGUCCUGUGGCCUCUGACUCAACCUAUGAGACAGAGCUCUGAUCCCAGGGCACACUUCCCAGGACACGGGGCCCAGCCUCAACCAGAGCCCUGUGAAGGGAGGGGCACCAGGAUGACCACAUGGGGGACCAUGGCGCUGCACACCUGGGCACUGUACUUCUCAUUGGAGAAUCCAGGCAAGAUCUUGAAGCAGGUGCAUGAGGUCCUGAGCCUGUGCAGCAAACAGCACUCAUCUGGGGUUGGCACGAAGGGGUCUACAGAGCCACGGCCACCGCAGCCUCUUCCCGGCCCCAUCUGUGCAGUGCAAGUGAUCCACGCCUGCUCCUAAACCCAGCCCAGCAAGCAGCAGCAGCCCGGGCCCCCAAGCCCGCCAGGCCAAUGUGCUGCCCAGAGGCUUCGAGGCCCUGCCCGCUGUACCUCCCACCACCUGGAAGCUGCCUCCUGACGCCUUCCAGCCACUGCUGCAGCCGCAACAGGUGUCGCGGCCAGUGCAGGCUUUCCAGACGGUGGCAGCGCCCAGCAGCCGUUGCCUCAGCUCUUUGGUGGCAGCCAGGCCAACAAGGGCAGCAACGAUGACUAGGAUGAUGAGUGAGCAAACAGCUCCACACUGGUGGACAGGCUGGGUGCGCACCCGGUGGUCCUCAAAGGCUCGCUGGGCCUGUACCACCGUUAUAAAUUUGAGAUCAUGAGAUUAUACCGUUUGCCUUCUUGCUUUUUGAAGUACGAGUAUUUUUAUGCACACUUUGUAGACUUCAAAAUCCAUGAAGAGUCUCAAAGAAGCCGGAUGGAUGGAGCCUGCUGCGGAUGCCUUUUACUCUCGUAGAUCAGGGUGAUUUACAUUCCACCUGUAGUCUGCUUGCAAACACACAGAGCAGCCUUGCAGCUUUGUGCCUUUAGACUCUUGGUUUUGCAUUUCUCCCUGCUCCCUUCUUCCUUCCAGUAAGCUGCAACUUUUCUGAUUGAAAGGGUGCAAGGCUAACACACGGAAUGACUAACUCAGGAUCACAUACUGGCAGUGGGAGAGGCAGGAGGAGCAGCUGCCAUCAAUUGCCAGGGCCAAGUGGAUGAUAGGAUGGAUGCUGGUGCAUGCGGAGGAGGCAGACGCAACGCUCAUCUCUAAUAAUGAUGUCUGUUCCCUCAGAGGCGGCUAGAGCAUCACCUCUUCACGCAAGUGUCUUGAAACUCAGCUUGAAGAUUUCAGCAAAUGUGUCUUACAGAGAAGAGAAGAGGGAGUCAGCCCAUCGGGAUUAAAAAUAUAGAGGCAGUGACAACACACACUCGGCUUCAGUUCUUAGGAGAGUUUUGGUUUUGAUUUUUUUUUUUUUUUUGGAGAAGAUUUUUUUUUUAAUGGAUCUACACUGUUAACUGAGACUCUGUUGAGAUUCACUGGUUUACUUAAAAACUUCUCAGGGAUGUCUGUAAAUUUCAGUGUUAUAUGUCAUGAAAACUGGUGUGGGCAGAUCUGUUGGUUGAAAUAAUUUCUACUGUUUCAAAUACUGAAGGCAGGAAUAAUUGGUUUAUACUGUGUUUUAAAUAGAAGUAUUACUGGUAAGUCCCCCAGGACAUUAAACCUUAAAAAUCAGU